UGGAUGAUGGGUGUGUGAGUGCUGGAUGAUGGGUGUGUGUGUGCUGGAUGAUGUGUGUGUGAGUGCUGGAUGAUGUGUGUGUGAGUUUUGGAUGAUGGGUGUGUGUGAGUGCUGGAUGAUGUGUGUGUGAGUGCUGGAUGAUGUGUGUGUGAGUUUUGGAUGAUGGGUGUGUGUGCUGGAUGAUGUGCGUGUGAGUGCUGG